AUACGUAGGGGGCGAGCGUUGUCCGGAUUUAUUGGGCGUAAAGGGCUCGUAGGCGGUUUGACAAGUCGGUCGUGAAAGCCCGGGGCUCAACCCCGGGACGCCGGUCGAAACUGCCAUGACUAGGGUCCGGUAGAGGUGAGUGGAAUUCUCGGUGUAGCGGUGAAAUGCGCAGAUAUCGAGAGGAACCCCAGUUGCGAAGGCGGCUCACUGGGCCGGUACCGACGCUGAGGAGCGAAAGCGUGGGGAGCAAACAGGAUUAGAUACCCUGGUAGUCCACGCCGUAAACGUUGAACACUAGGUGUGGCGGACUUAUCCACGUCCGCCGUGCCGCAGCUAACGCAUUAAGUGUUCCGCCUGGGGGAGUACGGCCGCAAGGCUAAAACUCAAAGGAAUUGACGGGGCCCCGCACCAAGCGGCGGAGCAUGCGGCUUAAUUCGAUGCAACCCGAAGAACCUUACCUGGACUUGACAUCAUGGGUCUACCUUCAGAAAUGUUGGGUGCUUUGCGCCCAUGACAGGUGGUGCAUGGCU
rnacentral:rRNA from 1 species